UGUGGUACACGGGAUCUUCGUUGCCAUGUGCGGGCUCUUAGUUGCCGCACGCAGGAUCUAGUUCCCUGACCAGAGAUCGAACCUGGGCCCCCUGUACUGGGAGCACGGGGUCUUAACCACUGGACCACCAGCGAAGUCCUGGAGUUUGGUUUCCGACUUGAAGGAUUGAACACAUUCAAGAGGAAGACAUGGCUGAUCUACCCAAGUGUAAAGGCUUUAAAAAUGUUAUUUUUCAAAAUAGGUAACACAUCUGCAUAUUAAUAUAAUCACACAUGAAACAUAAGUGGCUUUCAUCCCUCUAUCCCUUCCCCCUCUCUAGAGGAAACCACUACCUGUGCAUCUUCCAGAGAUAGUCCAUGCAAGCAUACAUAUAUGUAUAUUUUAUGCAAGGCACUUGGGUUGCUCCCAAUCUCGCUGUCUCACUAAGCCGCAGUGAGCGUCUUUAUCUUCUUAACUAGACUGCUUGGCAUGAGUGCCUGUGUGUCGUGGGAUGAAUCCUGGCAGUGGUAUCGCUUGGCCAAAAGAUAUGUGCAUUUUAAAUUUUUAUAAAUAUUGUCAAAACGCCCUGUAGAGCGACUGUACUGAUUUUUUAAUUCCCAUCAACAGUAUUUGAGAGCAUCUAUUUCUCUACAUCCUCACCAACACAGAAUGCCGUCAAAUUUUUUGAUAUUUGCCAGUCCAGGAGCUAAAAGUAAUUGGGCUUCCCUGGUGGCGCAGUGGUUGAGAAUCUGCCUGCCAAUGCAGGGGACACGGGUUCGAGCCCUGGUCUGGGAAGAUCCCACAUGCCGCGGAGCAACUAGGCCCGUGAGCCACAAUUACUGAGCCUGCGCGUCUGGAGCCUGUGCUCCGCAACAAGAGAGGCCGCGAUGGUGAGAGGCCCACGCACCGCGAUGAGGAGUGGCCCCCGCUUGCCACAACUAGAGAAAGCCCUUGAACAGAAACGAAGGCCCAACACAGCCAUAAAUAAAUAAAUUAAAAAAAAAAAUUAUUCCAUUUUUCCUAAUGCUUAUAGGGUUUCAGUUUUAAUGUUUAAAUUUCUGAUCCAUCUGGAAUUUAUUUAUUUAUUUAUUUAUUUAUUUAUUGAAGUGUAGUUAUACAAUAUUAUGUUAGUGUCAGGUGUACAACAUAGUGAUUUGACAAUCAGAUACAUUAUGAAAUGAUCACAAUAAUAAUUCUAUUAGCCAUCUGUCACCAUAUAAAAUUAGUAUUAUUUACUAUAUUCUCUUAGCUGUAUAUUACAUCCCUGUGAAUUAUUUUAUAACUGGAAGUUUGUGUCUCUUAAUCCCCUUCUGCUAUUUCACUCAACCUCUGAUACCCUCCCCUCUGGGGACCACUGGUUUGUUCUCUGUAUCUAUGAGUCUGUUUCUGUUUUGUUUGUUUAUUAGA